GACGAACGCUGGCGGCGUACUUAAUGCAUGCAAGUCGAGCGGGGUCCAUCCCGUGGCAACACGGGUGAAGACCUAGCGGCGAACGGGUGCGUAACACAUGAGCAACCUGCCCCGAAGUCUGGGAUAACACCGGGAAACCGGUGCUAAUACCGGAUGCCCCCACCGGACCGCAUGAUCUGGUGAGGAAAGAUUUAUCGCUUCGGGAGGGACUCGCGGGCUAUCAGCUUGUUGGUGGGGUAACGGCCUACCAAGGCAUCGACGGCUAGCUGGUCUGAGAGGACGACCAGCCACACUGGGACUGAGACACGGCCCAGACUCCUACGGGAGGCAGCAGCAGGGAAUAUUGCGCAGUGGGCGAAAGCCUGACGCAGUAACGCCGCGUGGGGGAUGAAGGCCCUCGGGUUGUAAACCCCUUUCAGCAGGGACGAAAUUGACGGUACCUGCAGAAGAAGCACCGGCCAACUACGUGCCAGCAGCCGCGGUAAGAC
rnacentral:rRNA from 1 species